ACAUAAUUUUAUCCACGUAGAAAUUUUCAAGUAUUAGUCCGGCAAUCGACGCGUUAAACGUCAGCUAUUCGCAUCUUAGCAAAAUGGAAGAACUCGCGACUCUCCUGGAUGCUCUCGCGAGAGACAAAGAACGAGUGCCGUUAAGGGCUAGCGAAGGAUCCCGAAGAUGUAGGAGCCCGCUCGACUAAGGUACGAGCAACAUAAAUAUCGACGAUGCAUGCUCCGUGGAACUAGCGCAAUUAGAGACAGAGACGCGAGUAAAGAAGCCACGAACCGCGAAGGGGAGGGGGGAGGGGACGACUUGGAGAACGAGAAAACGACGAUGAAGGGAGUCGACACCGCGAACAGUACUACGAAGUCGUGACCCAGCGUCGGAAUAUAGUUAUCGGCUAUGAACCGGCUGCUAGAGACCCGUCCCGCGGCAGCGUGGAUCUCGAAGGCGUAAAUUGGUCGAGGGGGAUCGUUUUAUUACAAGAGGGGGAUGCUCGAUAGGGGGAGGGAGGCUGGAGAGCCGAGGAAAGGGACCACGGUCUCCAGGCAUGAAACGGACGGUCACUGUGUUGCCUUCUCUUUAGUUCUGUCUUUGUGCGCAUCCUCUUCCUCCUGCCCCCCUCCGAAUUCGCGUUUUAUUUGUCGUGUUCAGUGCGCGGACGAGGAGAUGCCAGGACACCGUUGCGCUGUACCACGGCAUACCGUGGCAAACCGUACCAAACCGUGCCUCCUGCGAGGAAUCUCGCUCGCUGGCGAUCAGGGGUUCUCAUCGUCGUGAUACACCGAUCUCUUAUAGGUGGAAUAACGAGGGAGCUUGUGCGUGGUCUUUCCUCCAUCGUCGUUUAUUGAAGAUUGGAAGAGUGCAGCAACAAGAGACGCUGGUGCGACUCACUCAUUGUUUGCACAGUAUUUAUCCUCGAACGUCAAGAUUAAUUACAUUUUGUGCAAGGUGGAUGCACCGUGCGAGAGAACAGUUACACCUACGAGGACAUUAACGUCGCGCAACUAACAAUUCCUCGGAUAAUCACCGCCUCCCAUUGUGAAAGACAAAUGAUGGCGUGUCGAUGAUCGAUGUUAAACGGUGGACAAUUAGACUUGUGUAUGACAGUGUAUUAUUUCGGUAAUGUAUCUACGUUAAAUUAAUAACAUCAUAGUAUACCUUCGCUAGAUUAAUAACUCCUUUGUCAAGAUCUGGUAUUGUAUAUUACUUAAUCAUAACUAGACUGCGAAUUUUAUGCAUUUAUGAUUUAAACUAAUAUAAUAAAUACAUGAUAAACAUAAUCAAAAGGUAUUUUCACUAAUACAAAAUGAUAUAACAAUACUAUUAAAAUAAUUGUAGAAUAUAUUCAACAUACAUUAUGCAUAUUUUAUGUGGGUUUUCUAUAUUAUUAUUAUAAUUGUCAGAAAUGCAUCAAAUCUGCAGUCUAAUAAUAAAUAAUCACAAGAUUCCAUUUAUGACUUAUGUGAAUGUGAACAGCAUAGGUAUAUGCAAAGCUUAUGUAGAUUAUAUGGUAAGGUAUUAAAAUAAUUAAUAUAAUUAUGUCAAAUCAGUCUAUCUCCCCGUUUCGAUGAAAUACAGCCUUGAUCGUCGAUGAUAACUUAGACUUCCGAGUGUAAACUACAUUUAGGUAAGAUCAACUUGUGCUCAAAUCACGGUUCAUAGACUACCAAUCACCGAGCUCGCGAUACAGUUCACUGGUCAUCAAAAAACGUUAUUACAAUUACGCUAUUCGAACGCUGAAGAAACUUGCUACAAGUUCCUACAACUGUGCUAUUUGAAUCCUGAAGAAGCUAUCUGCAGGUUGCUAUGACUGUGCUAUUUGAACCCCGAAGAAGCUAGCUGCACGUUGUUACGGCUGUGCCAUUAAAACCUCGAAGAAGCUAACUGCGAGUUGUUAUGAUCAUGCUACUCGAACUGUUAAUCCUUUGCACUCCGAAUUAUAUUUCAAUUUCGUUACCAGCAGCUCCCAACGCAUUCAAGUGUUUUAUUUAAAAUUUACUUUAACUAAAAAGUAAAGCAAUUUAAAUAAAUACAGGAAGAAACAAGUUCACUUAAAUACCAGUUUUAUUUUCACUUUUGUUGUAUUUCGUAAUUUUCAAAUGUAUGAUAUCCCUUGAAACAAUUUUCUUCCCUAUUGAUUUAGCCACGAAAGAAUGUCGAGUGGGAUUCGACAAAGGAGCUCCUGAGAUUAAAACUGAUGUCGAGUCACGGUCGAUAGAGGAGUGCAAAGGGUUAAGCUAGCUGCAACUUGCUACGACUGUGCUAUUCAAACCUUGAAGAAGCCAGCUGCAAUGCUGCCGUAACUAAUCACGCCCAAAGGACGCGGCUCAACCUCCGUUAGUAUCAACCACGAAGAACCAGGCUGAGAAAGUCUCAAAUAUCUUAUGGCUUUCGUUAUUAACAGAGAUUAAUGGCUGUAAAGUGUAAUUCAUCGCUUGAAACGCGGACCGACCUUGAAUUCCGCGCGAAACAACCAGAAUUCAACGCGCGUUCUGGCGCGAGGAGGGUUCGCGACUGCUUCACGAGCCAUAAAUAUACUCACUCGUGAAUGCGCGAGAGCGGCGUUGCUGGUUAUCGGAGCCCGCUUCAAAAAUUAACUGCAUUUAACGAACUAAAUUUUACGAGUGAAACGCGGUACACUCGUUCCCGCGAAUUGGACACCGUGCUAAACCCCAGCCUGAACGAUUACGCGAUUUUCGAGAGUUUCGCGGCGCCGAACUACUGAUUCCCGCAACGUUCGGUCCAACGAGAUCAUUUUAAAGUUCUAUUUUCCGAGUCUGCAACUGAAAACUUAUAUUUCUGUUAGAAUGUUAGCGAGUGUUGAUAACGAAACAAUGUUGAUAUUAGGAAACGAAAAUUGAACACAAGUUGUGAUAAUCAUUUCUGGCUUGUCGAUGUUUAUAAUAAAAUACACGAGGCAAUAUUAUAUAUCAUAUAGUAUUUAUCUUAAGUAUGCAUUUAUUACGUUUUACACAAGUUAUGUACUUGUACAAACUAGUACAUGAAUGCAAGCUUAUCAUUUUAAAGUUUUAAAAAUAAUACUAAACUCGUAUGUGUAAUAAAUUAUAAACAGUCGAUCAUUAAGAUCUGAGAAGAAAUAAAGAAAAAUCUGAAAAUUAAAUCGAAAAGUAAUAUUGAACACAAAAUAUACUUUUGAUCAUUCCUUGCUAGGUCUUGAUUAUACAGUUAGCCUUAUUAAAGUAUUUCAGGAACACCCUAUAUAUAUCCCUCGUAUUAUAAGUUGUUUCACCGUGGCUCCGUGCGCUAUUAAUACUUUUAUUAAAGGUAAAUUACUUGCCACUGCCCGCAGCGGUUUUCAGUUUUGCUCAGUGAACGAUGUGCUACAUCAAAUAUAAUAAAGCGUUAUCGUCUUUUGCAAGAUUAAUUGACCGACCGUUUACAUUUGCAAGCGACGCAAAAAUCUAUUUUAAAACCAUCUAUUUAAAAAAAAAAACGUAGCAUUAUUAUUAUGCCUCGUAAACAUUCAUAUUUCUGAAGUGUACGUACUAUCACAACUUUGUCAACUAUUAUGUUAAAUUCAUUUUGGAUCAUCAGCAAAAAAGUUUAUGCACCACAGCCAUAAUACAAAUAGUCGUUCCUACGACAUUGAAUUCGAGAAGUGGUGGAGAUAACCACGCGACACUUGCGCAACAGAUUCCAGUGACAUUUACGCGUGACUCACUGUAUAUUUUUCCCUGUUCUGAGGUAUUUCAUUUUGCAAUUCAAAUUCUAAUUAUCAUUGAACGAGUUACGGAAGUUACUUGUCUUUCAUUUGAUAUUUAAAAAUUGUAUUCAGGUAAAAAUGUUAUCCACCUCAAAAUCGAAGAGCAUCAUCUAUAGGAAACGCGUGAUUAUCUUUCAUUCGACAUUCGAAAUUUGUAUCCAGGUAAGAAUGUUCCUUACCUCCGAAUUGAAGAGCAAUAGCAAACAUGUACCAGUGUCUUCGCGCGCAGAGAUUAUCGAACCAUUAACCAGAGUGCUGGAUGAAAUCCGAGGAAGAGGUGGCAUGUUUAACGAAAUUAAUUUCGCCAGAGGCAACGAACACAGGAUUGUCCCGCGAAUGCAAUUCGUGGAAUGUUCGAAUAAGCGACGCGGAAGCGGGGGCAAGUCGCGGCCACCUCGCGAUCGUCUCGCGAAACGAUGAAAUCAUUCGACGCGCGUAAACGCGACAAAAGGUCUCCUACUUCUCGCGACCCAUAAAUAUUCCCUGGAUUUCACUCCCUGUUCAGAAACGCCCGCACGCAUCGUUGAAUCCGAGUUAUGUGGAGACGCGCUAAUAACGAGCCGAUUCUAUUCCAUCGUGGAUUCCCUCCUUCUAUUACGCGGCACUCUUGCUGCUGUGAAAUUUAUUGCCGUAGCUGGUAUUCCGAUAUAGCGCGUGUAUUUCCUGAGUGACACAAGUGGGGAUUCCAAAAUAAUCAUUUCUCUCAAUUAUCGGUACUAGAAACUAUCUUGUACGUUUUAGAAAUGUAACAUGAUUUUUAAAGUCGACUUGUUUUAUUAGUUUUUAUAUAUCAAGUGGUACCAGAGUGGUGAAACAUGUAGUAAAUAGUCAGUUUCGAAUUUUCUAUUUGCUGCAAUACGUUUGUUGAUUGUUUCUUGUGUGACAGCACUGGAAAUGUCGAAAUUAUCAUGUUUCUCAAUUAUUACUUGUACGAAAAAUUGUUCGACAUUUUUAGAAAUGCAUUAUGAUUUUUAAAAUGCUUUAUUGCUUUAUAUACAUUAUUUUAAGUAGUAAAUAGCGUGGGUACUUACGAAAACGAAAUUGUUUAUUUGUUCCGAUACGUAAAAUAUAAUAUAUUUUAUUUGAUUUAUAGAGUAUGUAAUAACAUUUUCUUUUCUAUCAUUCCUAGAAAGACGUUGCGAAGGCGUUUCGCGAGAAUUCUUCGAUAAGCGAUCGAUUAACUAUUCCAUUCGCUGUUCUAAGUAGUCAAGCUCAUUAACAUGGAAACUGAGUAACAUCCAAUCACUCGCAAUAGGUUAACGAGACUAGAACCCGUGAACCAUUAAAAUACUGAACCGUUAGCUACAAGGAUUAACACACCAGUUAAGUGUUGUAAUUGAACUUAUUUGAAAUGGAAAUUCCGUUUAUCAUAAUAGCUCCUAUUUAAUCACGGGUCAAAAAUGCGAGCAGUACCCUUGAGUUAUCAGGAAAUCGAGCUCUUGAAUAAUUCUAUAGAAUGGCUCGAUUAUGAGGAACAAAACAUUCUUUGCAUUCAAUAAUUUCUUGAUGAAUGGUUGAAUUAAAGUAAUAAUAAAUUUAACUGACUAUAACAGUAUAAUGUGGAUUAGAAAGGUGAAUGGACAUAACGGUUAAACAGAUUCUGUUACGAAAGUAUUUAAACACUAGAAAGGUCACGAAACUAAAGAUAUUCGAAGAUUGGCAGUUGUCUAUCUAGCGAAAAGAUCGACAUUUUUCACGAACUCCAUAGAACGUAUGCUAUUAUGGGACUGUUUAUAUUUAUAGCAAAAAGUUAGUAAAAAUAUUAAAGAACGACACUAAUAGUUUUUCUAAACUUUACGUACCUGUAACAUGAAACAGAAAAUGUUUAAUAAUUUCUUAUUGGUAUCUUCAGAAACCAUAUAUCUUACCUAAUCACCUGAUUAAAAAACAAAAGAAGAUAAGACUAUAGUAAAACUAUACUAUCCCAAUACAAAUUCGUUUGCGUUUAUUUGAUCGCCGUGCGAAAUGGCGAGUCAGAAGCAAGAUCGCGGCAUCGAAAUCACCGCGGAAUCGUGGAAGGCAAGUCCUGGGACUUGUCGCCGGUUCCGACUGUAUUUUACAAGCGGAGCCAUUAUAAUGACAUUUAAACGGCGAGCCACAGAUUGCACCGCGACGGGCAUAACCUUUCCUAACCGGCUGAUUUAUUUGGCACGGCGUUGAGCCAACAACGGCGUCGCGAAGAAUUACGAGGGCGUGAUGAAUCUAAUAAAAUGCCUGUGCACUCUGGCCCCUAAUUCGUGACGCUUUUCGCUUCUUGUAUGACGGCCUCGUCGACGCAUUUUUCAUUCAGAAUGAAAACUGUUGCGGUCACGGCGGAUGCUAAUUCUCUCGGACAACGUUCACCAAAUUGACUUAUUUACGAGGAUAUGCUUUUUUUUGUUUUUUUUUUGUUUUUUU